UCACCAGCUAAGGCCCCUAAAUGACCGCUCAGUGAUAAAGGAGGUGGGGGUGCAAAGACAGCCAGGAAGUUUGCCUAGAAGCAGCCACCCUUUAAAGAGUGCGUAAUAGUUCACUGAUCGAGCACCCUUGCGCUGAAGAUGAACGGGGCUAAGCGAUCUGCCGAAGCUGUGG
rnacentral:ncRNA from 1 species